rnacentral:rRNA from 1 species
AGAGUUUGAUCCUGGCUCAGGAUGAACGCUGGCGGCGUGCCUAACACAUGCAAGUCGAACGGGGCGCGCCGGCGGGGGCCCUCCGGGGCUGAAGCCGGCGCCGCCCAGUGGCGGACGGGUGAGUAACGCGUGGGCAACCUGCCCCGCACUGGGGGACAACAGCCGGAAACGGCUGCUAAUACCGCAUGGGCGCACAGCCCCGCAUGGGGCGGUGCGGAAAGCCUUGGCGGUGCGGGAUGGGCCCGCGUCUGAUUAGCUUGUUGGCGGGGCAACGGCCCACCAAGGCGACGAUCAGUAGCCGGCCUGAGAGGGUGGGCGGCCACAUUGGGACUGAGACACGGCCCAAACUCCUACGGGAGGCAGCAGUGGGGGAUAUUGCACAAUGGGGGGAACCCUGAUGCAGCGACGCCGCGUGGGCGAUGGAGCGCCUCGGCGCGUAAAGCCCUAUCAGCAGGGAAGAAAAUGACGGUACCUGACUAAGAAGCCCCGGCUAAAUACGUGCCAGCAGCCGCGGUAAUACGUAUGGGGCAAGCGUUAUCCGGAUUUACUGGGUGUAAAGGGAGCGCAGGCGGCCUGGCAAGCCUGAUGUGAAAAUCCGGGGCCCAACCCCGGGGCUGCAUUGGGAACUGCCAGGCUGGAGUGCCGGAGAGGCAGGCGGAAUUCCUAGUGUAGCGGUGAAAUGCGUAGAUAUCAGGAGGAACACCAGUGGCGAAGGCGGCUUGCUGGACGAUGACUGACGUUGAGGCUCGAAAGCGUGGGGAGCAAACAAAAUUAGAUACCCUGGUAGUCCACGCCGUAAACGA